CGGCGGACGGGUGAGUAACACGUGGAUAACCUACCUAUAAGACUGGGAUAACUUCGGGAAACCGGAGCUAAUACCGGAUAAUAUAUUGAACCGCAUGGUUCAAUGGUGAAAGACGGUUUUGCUGUCACUUAUAGAUGGAUCCGCGCCGCAUUAGCUAGUUGGUAAGGUAACGGCUUACCAAGGCAACGAUGCGUAGCCGACCUGAGAGGGUGAUCGGCCACACUGGAACUGAGACACGGUCCAGACUCCUACGGGAGGCAGCAGC
rnacentral:rRNA from 1 species